rnacentral:rRNA from 1 species
GGACUACCAGGGUUUCUAAUCCUGUUUGCUACCCACGCUUUCGCGCCUCAGCGUCAGAUGAUGACCAGUAUGCUGCCUUCGCCAUGGGUGUUCCUCCUGAUAUCAACGCAUUUCACCGCUACACCAGGAAUUCCACAUACCUCUCCAUCCCUCAAGUCUGCCAGUAUGAAAAGCAAUUUUCGGGUUGAGCCCUGAAGAUUUCACUUCUCACUUAACAGACCGCCUACGCGCUCUUUACGCCCAGUAAAUCCGGAUAACGCUUGCACCCUACGUCUUACCGCGGCUGCUGGCAC